GGGUGAGGCGAAUGUGAAACGCUGGAUGUUAAAAAUUCUCUUCACAGGUCUGCCUCCCAAGCUACCUAAUAUUAACAUUCAGGUGAUGACUUUGUAAUUUUGCUUAGAGAUCCUUCAGCGGAGAGCGCAGGAAUGGAGAUCACCUCAUUGCUGUGGGUGUGAAAAGAGGAGAGCGGGGCUGGGGUGAUGCUCCGGAGGAGGAGCGCGGCCCGGGGUGUGAUCCAUCAGCGCCCGACGGCAAUAAAUACAGAUAACUGGCAUUAAAAUAAGGGAGGGAAUUAAAAUAAGGACCGGCAGAACCUCCCCACCAGCGUGGGGACAAAAGUUCGCUUAAGCAGGCAGGAAAAUGACCACGGAAACCCACCCGAGCGGUGUUCCCUGUUCCGUGUGUCAGGAAUUCUCCCUGAAUUCCCCCUGAAACACGGGGCACCCCUGCCCUUGCUCCAUCACUCCGAGCACAACACCGCUCUCAGCAGGAGCAUUUGGAUCUCACGAGGCCAACGCUGUAAUUAAUGAGAUUUGAGGCGCGAGCACUGAGACAAAAUUCGAGUUUCCAGCGUCAGGAAUGAAGAUCCAGCCUUUGUUACAAAAGGGGAUGAGGGGUGGCAGUACUUUAAAGCUUCUCAGUCCGACACUGGAAAGGAAUUCACAAUGUAUUUUUAGAGUGUUAUAAAAAUCUCUUACAUAAUGCUGAUUAAUUCUUCGGUUUUAGGGAAGAGCACUGGGCUUUGUGUGUAAGAGUGUUGACCAGCUAAGCCACUGACAAGGGCUGGUUUGGGCUGGAUUUUUUCUUCCCCUUUAACUUUUUCUUGGAUACAGAAAGCUGCAAUUAUUCAAUUAUUACAGGAUUUUGCUUUUUGUUUGGGCGUGUUAUGAAUAUUAUUCUGGAAACUGUGCCUUAUUCUUGGAAGUCUUUAUCAUUUUAAAACAUAUGUUAUGUUAUAUCACCCUGUCUGAGAUAUAGGAUAGCUCCAAACUGGGUGGUUUUUGGCUUUUUUCCCCCUCUCUCUUGCUGCAGCUAGUUACAGUAUGGAUUAAUGUUAACGAUGUCUGCAGUGAAACAUUGCUUGUGUGGCUGACUUAAACAAUGUCACAUCACAGGUUCACAGUUUUAUUGAUACAGUAAUACCUACAAUUGCUUUGUAUUUCUGCCCGUUCUGUUGGUCCUCAAAAAUCAUUGAUUAAUCCAACUGGCAGGUUUCACACAGCCCUUAACAAAGGGCUAUUCAGGAAAUUAAGUCCGUAAAUGCUACUCCCUUAUUUUAAUUCCAGUUAUCUGUACUUAUUGCUGUGUAGCAAUAAGAUUUUUGGGGCAAGAUAUCGUGGGAGAGAGAUGCUUUUGUUUGGUCUUUUUCAACAGAUACCUGACCGAGGCAGCUUUGAAGCUUUUUCUGAGGAAUCCUUCGUCCUUCUGUAGAAUGUUUAAUCUUCCUGUGGAGUGUCUAACUAUGAGACUCGUUCUGCAGACUUUCACAGGGGUUGCUCAGGUGAUGAACGGGUCCUAAAUCGUUACUGGAGAAUGGAGAGAGCAGGAAUGCCAGGAGCCACAAUUCCCCCUGUCCCUGCAGAAGGAGCCAGGAUGACUUUGCAGCCUCCUGUCACACAGCUCAGCCAUGAAGGGGCCAGAGACAGCGCAAAUGCCACCAGCUGGGAAGCAAAACUUGCUGAGAACAAACCUUCCCCGGGUUUAUUGCUCUUGCUAGCUGUGCUGUGGCUGCUCACACACUGCACACGUGUGCAGCUCAGAAUGGGGAAAUUAUCUGUACGGGCACCCAGCGCCACACUGUCUAACCUUGCAAUGGAAAAAAAACGCGUUUGUGUGUACUGGUUUCCUCCACUGCUUCUUUUCCUGGUGUUUUAUGUGGUUUCAGCCCUCCCUGGUGCUGUUUCCACUGGAGGGGCUGUCACAGCCUCUCUCUCUCACACAGACACUCAUGUGUGUGCCUUUGGUGCUGGCUGAGGGUUGAGCUCAUGCUGCCUCUCGUGAAGAAAAACUCAAAUCCAGUCCUUCCUCUUCUCCCCAGUCACAUAUUUUAACUUCUAUGAUGGGAAUUGAUACUUUUCUUGGUGAAAUGUAUUUGAUAACUGGGUUUAAAAUUAUGUCUACAUAUAUGUAUAAGCACUCUUAGUAUGGGAGAGCUCCCUGAUUUCAUUGGUUAGCUGGUUGUUUUAAGCCAUUUGAUAGAAAUCACAUUUUACCAGACAACCCAAUGUUUGAGGGGGGGAAUAUAGCAUGAGAAAAAGUACAUUGCCUUAGUUAUUAAUCAUUUGAAGGAUAGCUGAAAGUCACCAUUGCUGGCUCAGUGAUGUGUCACAUCAGGAAGGGGCUCCUUGUGCUGUGUGUGGCAAUAAACAGAAGAGAAACUGCAUGAAAACUGGGGAUACAGGUGGAUGUGAGGCUAAAUGGGACCUGGCCCUGCAUGAAGCUCCACAUGGGCAGAUCUCUCCCUGCCUGACGUGGGUGUGGGGAUUUGUGGCAAAGAACUUUGCUGCUGAGGUGCCUUAGCUGCCACUUUUAGCAGUUAGUGCUGUGCUAAAAAAAAAAAAAAAAUACCAGCCAGAAACCACAUUAGCAGCAUCAAAAUUGCUUUUAUUUUCAGGGUCAGUACCCUCAGCAAUAUGUUGCAGGAAAAGGUUGAUCCCAGAAUGGAGCUGCUGAUAAUUCCCGAGUUGGUUUGACAUAUGCAGGCUGCUGUCGACUUCAACAGGCUUAUUUAGCACAUUUGUUUCUCUGGGUUUAGGAUUAGCCAAAAUGCAAUUUUGUGAAGCUGCACUGAUGAGGUUGCCUGCAGUGGGCUGUGGACCUGGCAGGACUCAGGUUGCACAAGUGUGACAACAGAAAAUCUUCCCCUCUAGCCUGGACUUAACCAUGGUUAGGGCAAAUAACCUCUUCAGAAGGCUCAAGACUUUUGCAUUUAUUAAAGUCUGCUCAUGAAAAAGAGACUCCAAAGCAAGCAGUGGUGCUCAGAGCGAAGUUCUGGGAAAAUAAAUGGCCAAAGCCAUCACGCUGUGACAGCUUUGGCAAACCUUUGCACAGUUUUAUAAAACAAACACGUGUGCUGUUCCCUUCUCUGGGUCGGUCUUUGCACUAGAAGUUCAUGCCUAACUCAGAAGAUGAAGAAAAUGGUUCUGUCUCUCCCUCUCCAUGUAUUUACUGGGCACAUACUGGUGAAUUAAGAGCCACCCCUGUGCUGCACCACGGCAGCCACGCUCAUCCAACCCCUCUGCAGCUUCCCUGCCUUCAUCAACACGUGUAAACCACAGGAGAUGGAGACCAUUCCAGCCUGUUUUGUGGGCCUGAUAUUCCAGGCAGCUAACUCCUCUGGACCUCAAGAAUCACAGGAAAUAAAACAAUUGUCUGUGAGCUUGCUCUGCUUUUCAGCAAGUACAAAAUGUGCCAGUGGAUUCUGAUAACUGAGUGUGCCUCCACUGGCGCUCCACACCAGGAUUUGAGCUUCUUCUGCUUUUUAUGGACCAUUUGAGGCCUUUGUGUUCGGCUAAGAAUAUAUUGAGAACUGAGAAAAUUUCACUGUUUUGGACCUGUGGCCCGAGGAGGAGGUGGUGAUGAUAAAAAGCACUGGCACAUGUCAAAUCAAAGUGGUACCAGUUCUGACUGAUUGUUUAACAGCUGGCCCAGUGUUAAAAGUAAGAAAGGAAAUCACAGCAUUAAUCAUUAGUUUAUGCUUAUGCAUGUUUUGUUUCUCCCAACACACAUACACGUGAUAUUGUUCAUAUAUAUUGUUCAUCUGGUAAGGAAGAAAUAAAAAAAGAAAUUGAUACCGGUCUGCAUAUGUGUUCAAAAGCUUAGCAAAUUCUCUUAGCUCUGCUGGGGAUCAGAUUUCAUGAAACUGCAAUAAAAAAAAUCCUUUUUUACCUUG